GUUAAAGUGGUAGUGUGGUAUGAUACGGGACUUUCAAUCAGAAGGCUCUAGGUUCAAUCCUUGCUUUAACU
rnacentral:tRNA from 1 species